UGGGGAAUAUUGCACAAUGGGGGAAACCCUGAUGCAGCGACGCCGCGUGGAGGAAGAAGGUCUUCGGAUUGUAAACUCCUGUUGUUGAGGAAGAUAAUGACGGUACUCAACAAGGAAGUGACGGCUAACUACGUGCCAGCAGCCGCGGUAAAACGUAGGUCACAAGCGUUGUCCGGAAUUACUGGGUGUAAAGGGAGCGCAGGCGGGAAAACAAGUUGGAAGUGAAAUCCAUGGGCUCAACCCAUGAACUGCUUUCAAAACUGUUUUUCUUGAGUAGUGCAGAGGUAGGCGGAAUUCCCGGUGUAGCGGUGGAAUGCGUAGAUAUCGGGAGGAACACCAGUGGCGAAGGCGGCCUACUGGGCAUCAACUGACGCUGAGGCUCGAAAGUGUGGGUAGCAAACAGGAUUAGAUACCCUGGUAGUCCACACCGUAAACGAUGAUUACUAGGUGUUGGAGGAUUGACCCCUUCAGUGCCGCAGUUAACACAAUAAGUAAUCCACCUGGGGAGUACGACCGCAAGGUUGAAACUCAAAGGAAUUGACGGGGGCCCGCACAAGCAGUGGAGUAUGUGGUUUAAUUCGACGCAACGCGAAGAACCUUACCAAGUCUUGACAUCCCUUGACGAUGCUGGAAACAGCAUUUCUCUUCGGAGCAAGGAGACAGGUGGUGCAUGGUUGUCGUCAGCUCGUGUCGUGAGAUGUUGGGUUAAGUCCCGCAACGAGCGCAACCCUUAUGGUCAGUUACUACGCAAGAGGACUCUGGCCAGACUGCCGUUGACAAAACGGAGGAAGGUGGGGAUGACGUCAAAUCAUCAUGCCCUUUAUGACUUGGGCUACACACGUACUACAAUGGCGUUAAACAAAGAGAAGCAAGACCGCGAGGUGGAGCAAAACUCAGAAACAACGUCCCAGUUCGAACUGCAGGCUGCAACUCGCCUGCACGAAGUCGGAAUUGCUAGUAAUCGUGGAUCAGCAUGCCACGGUGAAUACGUUCCC
rnacentral:rRNA from 1 species